GGUUAUCAGAUAUUAUACUAAGUUUACUGCACUUCUCGUCACAGUAUCUCUGUUUAAAUGGUCGGCUUGUAUUUUGGUUACCUGUCUACAAACCAAGUUAUUCUGACAGCAAAGUCCCACAUCAUCCAUGCUUUCGACUUGUGGCAAACAGCGAGCAAAACUUAUUCACGAAUAUCUCGAGACGCCUUAUUACCAUGGAAAAGACACACGAGUACAAUAAGUCUGUGACUAUGGACUCUCUCCGUGACAAGAACAGAGAAUUUGAAAUAAUGUGUGAUAAGUUUAGAGAAAAUUAUUUUACGCCGUCGAACUCCAGCUGAUAUAUAAAACUGCGAAUAAAAAUUGAAUCAACAUUCAAAAAUCGUAUUACGUCAUCAGAACUAAGACCGAAAGGGAGCUUGGGAAAUGAUAAUUAGCAAACGAUUAAGUAUGAUUAGUGUAAGAUUAUUUUCACAUAACAGUGUUAUAGUCUCUAGGAAACUUUUACAGUGAAUAUCUACUUUGCUAUGAGUAAUACUAUACAUGAGUUUUAAAGUACCCAGAAUCCUGUUCUAUCUUAGCUUUGGUCAUGUGACCGUGUUGCGGUCCGACGUCUUUUUCCAUUAGAUGUAUCCACGAACAUUCUCUCUUUUAAUUUAAUGAAAAUUGCGUUGAUUUAGUCGUUCAAGCUUAACUUGUGACAUGAGGAACAUUUGCGGACAGUAUACUAUGUGACUGACUUGCGUCAAGGCACAUUU